rnacentral:rRNA from 1 species
UAAUACGAAGGGGGCUAGCGUUGCUCGGAAUUACUGGGCGUAAAGGGAGCGUAGGCGGACAGCUAAGUCAGAGGUGAAAGCCCAGGGCUCAACCCUGGAAUUGCCUUUGAUACUGGCUAUCUUGAGUAUGGGAGAGGUGUGUGGAACUCCGAGUGUAGAGGUGAAAUUCGUAGAUAUUCGGAAGAACACCAGUGGCGAAGGCGACACACUGGCCCAUUACUGACGCUGAGGCUCGAAAGCGUGGGGAGCAAACAGGAUUAGAUACCCUGGUAGUCCACGCCGUAAACGAUGAGAGCUAGUUGUCGGCAUGCAUGCAUGUCGGUGACGCAGCUAACGCAUUAAGCUCUCCGCCUGGGGAGUACGGUCGCAAGAUUA